UUCAGGAAAAUAAAUUCUAUGAUGCUGUUGUAAAACCACCUCUGACUGGUCCGAUCCAAAGGCGGAGAUAACAAGCCUGAGAAGGUUUGAACCAGGAAAGCUGCCUCAUUCUACAGAAAGAUGGGCAAAGGGUUAAACCAAAAAAGCUACCUCGUUUUACAAAAAGACUGCAAAGGGUCUAAACCAAAAAAGUUGCCUCGUUUUACAAAAAGACUGCAAAGGUAAAAAUUUUCUUUCUCUUUUUUUUUUUUUAAAUUUUACCCUGAGCUUUUUAUUUUUUU